rnacentral:lncRNA from 1 species
UGUAACUGGUCACUGUUAUUGUCCCUGCAGGGCCAAGCAUAUGUCUCUUCUGCUCCCUGCCCAUUGCAUAUAAUUGGUUACUUGGCCCUGUGCACCUACAGGGGACUUUGAAGUAGAGGAUUACUCAUAGCUAGCAAGCGUGUGGAAGCGCCUCUGCUUUAGAGAGUUCAGACUCUGAGGGCAGUUUCAAGUAUCUGUGAAUAUGCAGAGGAAGUCCCAAUGCUCUCUGAAGACUUGGAAAAAACAGAUCACUACUAACUAGCUGGCUUCUGAAAACCAGGUCAAAUAGCACCUCGGCAGCCUUGAGUGAUCAGUUCUAAGACCCACGCCAAGACCCACGCCAAGACCCACCCAAACUGCGGAUGCCCACGUCUUCUGCAUUCAAUGGCAAGAAAAACAACAACAACUGAAUGGACACUGUGACUAUGCCUGUAAUCCUAGCAUUUGGGACACCCAGUUCUAGGGCCAGCUCAGAGUCACUGCACCUAAAGAGGAAGAGAGUGAGAUAAACGGUGGCCAGGAGCUGGGCAGUGACCUGUUCUUCUUCUAUGGUUAAAAUGUUUGCCUUGGUUUCAUGAGAACGCGAGUUCUGUCACCAGGACCUAUGUUAAACAGCCUUGUGUGGUGGUGGUACAUGGUUGUAAUGUCAGUACUGGGGAGGUGGAAACAGGUGGAUGGAUUCUGGGGACUUGGUGGCCAGUCAGUUUAGCUAACUGGGUGAGUUCUAGGCCACUUGGAGUCUGUUUUGAAACAAAACCAAAACCAAAAAAAAACAAAACCAGAUGGCAGAUAGAGCCUGAAAAUUAUACCCGAGGUUACCCUCUGACUGUCACAUGCAUAUGCACACCCACAUCUCCCA